GACGAACGCUGGCGGCGUGCCUAAUACAUGCAAGUAGAACGCUGAAGGAGGAGCUUGCUCUUCUGGAUGAGUUGCGAACGGGUGAGUAACGCGUAGGUAACCUGCCUGGUAGCGGGGGAUAACUAUUGGAAACGAUAGCUAAUACCGCAUAAUAUUGAUUAUUGCAUGAUAGUCAAUUAAAAGGUGCAAUUGCAUCACUACCAGAUGGACCUGCGUUGUAUUAGCUAGUUGGUGAGGUAACGGCUCACCAAGGCGACGAUACAUAGCCGACCUGAGAGGGUGAUCGGCCACACUGGGACUGAGACACGGCCCAGACUCCUACGGGAGGCAGCAGUAGGGAAUCUUCGGCAAUGGACGGAAGUCUGACCGAGCAACGCCGCGUGAGUGAAGAAGGUUUUCGGAUCGUAAAGCUCUGUUGUAAGAGAAGAACGAGUGUGAGAGUGGAAAGUUCACACUGUGACGGUAUCUUACCAGAAAGGGACGGCUAACUACGUGCCAGCAGCCGCGGUAAUACGUAGGUCCCGAGCGUUGUCCGGAUUUAUUGGGCGUAAAGCGAGCGCAGGCGGUUAGAUAAGUCUGAAGUUAAAGGCUGUGGCUUAACCAUAGUACGCUUUGGAAACUGUUUAACUUGAGUGCAAGAGGGGAGAGUGGAAUUCCAUGUGUAGCGGUGAAAUGCGUAGAUAUAUGGAGGAACACCGGUGGCGAAAGCGGCUCUCUGGCUUGUAACUGACGCUGAGGCUCGAAAGCGUGGGGAGCAAACAGG
rnacentral:rRNA from 1 species